GCAGUAGAACGCUGAAGACUUUAGCUUGCUAAAGUUGGAAGAGUUGCGAACGGGUGAGUAACGCGUAGGUAACCUGCCUACUAGCGGGGGAUAACUAUUGGAAACGAUAGCUAAUACCGCAUAACAGCAUUUAACCCAUGUUAGAUGCUUGAAAGGAGCAAUUGCUUCACUAGUAGAUGGACCUGCGUUGUAUUAGCUAGUUGGUGAGGUAACGGCUCACCAAGGCGACGAUACAUAGCCGACCUGAGAGGGUGAUCGGCCACACUGGGACUGAGACACGGCCCAGACUCCUACGGGAGGCAGCAGUAGGGAAUCUUCGGCAAUGGGGGCAACCCUGACCGAGCAACGCCGCGUGAGUGAAGAAGGUUUUCGGAUCGUAAAGCUCUGUUGUAAGAGAAGAACGUGUGUGAGAGUGGAA
rnacentral:rRNA from 1 species